ensembl:snoRNA Gm22938 small nucleolar RNA SNORA17
CCUGGCCCUAGAGGCAUUGCAGGUGUGGCUGCUGUGUCACAUGUGCAUCAUAGGUGACAAAGAAGAGAGAGGCUAUGCCUAUGCUCAGUGUUUUGACCUGUGAACAUCUAAAUGAUUAGUAGCCUAACGUU